AGCUGAGUUUAGUCAAUGAGGGUCUCUGAUUAGAUUCUUCUCAGUGUUUACGUGUUGAAAUCUUCAUCGAACUGGCUUCGAUUCUUCUCAGUGUUUCAAUUUCAUCGGUUUUGGCGACGCGGUUGCUAAGAUGUUCGGAGGAAUGUUCCAGAAGAAACCAAGCAAGGAAGAAGCUCUGCCGCAGCUUCGAUCCCACGCAUUGAUGUUCGGAGCAUGGGUUGUUGCUGUUCGGGUCACUCCUUAUUUUCUUCAGUAUUUUUCCAGAAAGAGGAGAUUACUUUGGAUCUUUGAUUCAACCCCACCAAAAUUAAGCGAUCUCACAGUUUUAUCUGCCGUAGCAGUUUCAAAAAGAUAGAAUUACUACAGAUUGGGAUGCUGUUAUUGAUGCUGCAGCAAUUGCAGGUUGGUGCAAAAUAAUGCAGUGCUUGAAGUUAGUCUUGUGCUUCUAUAACAAAAAAGAAAAUUCAACUGCGUGGCCCUCCUUGACUCCAUAUCAAAUUAACUACCGAAAAAGCAACCUGGAUAUCCUUGUUAGAGUAAAGAGGGGGAAAAGAGGAGAAGAUCGAGAGGAAGACCAUCUCAGAGAAGUUCUCAAGCACUCUGCUCAAAUGCUUUUGGAGCUCCAAACCUCAUAAUAAGUAUCUCAAGUCCAAAUUUGUUCAACAAUGUCGAUUUGUUUCCAUCACAUUCCUGUCAAACUUCCAGGAUUAAACAACAAAAAGUUUUGCAGACUGUCUGGGUCUAGGAGGGAAUUGACAAUAGUCUCCAUGUCGUCAGUUGCUACUGAUACGGUGAAGGACGUACUUGCAGCGAAUUAUAUACCUGCAGCUCCUAUACUUUUCCCCGAAGGACCGUGGCAGCAGGUUACUGAUUUCCGAAUUAUAUUUGUGUUUUCUUGUUUAUCCUAAACAAUGUUAUCUAAUUUACAGCACAUGGAAUGGUACAUGAAUGCAGUUUACUAUUUAUAUUAUUUGUUCAAAAGUGUCACUAUUUUAUAAGUUCUUAAGUGUUUCAUUGUACCAAUUCGCAUGUUUAUGAUCGUAGUUUUUGAGGGGGCUGGGGAAGUGGGGUUAGCGAAUUAGGUCAUGAUGAUCCUGAAUAUUGAGUUAAAAGGAUAGCAAGACAGAUUCUGACGUCUAUUUCCAUAUGUGAAAUGAAGAAAGAAAAGCUUGAAAUCUCAGUGUUUAGUUUCUUUUGUAGAUUUCUGGGGGAGGUACAGCUGCGAAGGGAUUCAAGGCUGCCGGUAUUUAUGGUGGUUUGAGGGCCCAAGGAGAGAAACCUCCUUACUUACAAAUUUCUGAACAUUUAGGCUAUAAUAUGAAUGCUAUAAUAAUUAACUUUGUUUCUUCCUUCAUUGUUUCAUCAUGAAGAUUGGUUGGGUGCUAUUGUUUCUACUUUUAAGGUUUUGUUCAUUUCCUUUUUUUUUCGUCAUAUUUCUUGUACCUUGAUUAUGAACGAUGCUUUAAUUUCUAUCUAUGCAGAAAUGGAGGGUGACAAAUUAUUUUAGAAUUUUGGGGUGGUUUCGAUUCAGUUUGGUAAAAAAAACUCGGAUUAUGUUCCCAUGCAUCUUAAAGCUAGGGUUUUAUUUAUUUAUAUAUUUGAUUUAGAUCAUUCAGUAUCUAAUUGAUUAUUUUCUAUAGGAAGUCUGCUGGAAUAUCAGCUCCAACUGUUGGAAGAGUCGAGAACACUCAUUAUUACCAUCCUGGAAUUGUUGCUCCUCGAGAGUAACAGGGGAAAUGGGGAGAUUGAAUGGGAUCUAAAGUGAAAAAGGUUAAUGGCUAGGGAAAGAGCAGCAUUAAGACUUCAGAAGAGGUCAAGAAGAUAGUAGCUACCCAAGUUCAAUGCAGGUGAAGGUUGGUCAUGAAAAAGGCUGUGAGUCUACUUUACGAAGACUUAGGGGAAAGGAAUUUGAUAUAGUUCAUAAAGCAGCUCAAAUCAAACUCAUCAAAAGAAGGUCGAGGUCUAGGCCGAGUAUCUGCUGGUGGAAACAAUUGAUUGGUUUUGUUGGGUGUUAAACUUUUAACAAUAAAUUAUGGGUACUGGAUAAUUUUUGCCAUGUUUUUUUGUUUUUUGUUUUUUUUUUUUUUUUUUUUUUUGUGAAGUUAAGUAGGCAAUCCAUUUCAGUGUUUUAGCUUAAGAUAGCCUUAAAAUGUCCUUGAAUAGUUUCUUGCAUUUGAUGUUACUCAAAUGGAUAUUCUAAGAAUUUAACAUUAAUCGUAAUUAGUAGCUAUGUUUUUCCA